GAUGAACGCUCGCGAUAGGCUUAACACAUGCAAGUCGAGGGGCAGCACAAGGGAGCUUGCUAUCUGGGUGGCGACCGGCGCACGGGUGCGUAACGCGUAUGCAACUUGCCCUAUACAGGAGGAUAACCCGUCGAAAGACGGACUAAUACUGCGUAUGCUCACAACUUGGCAUCCAGUGGUGAGGAAAGAAAUUCGGUAUAGGAUAGGCAUGCGUCCCAUUAGCUUGUUGGUGAGGUAACGGCUCACCAAGGCAACGAUGGGUAGGGGAACUGAGAGGUCUAUCCCCCGCAUGAGUACUGGGCCACGGACCGGACGACUGCGGCAGGCAGCAGUGAGGAAUACUGGUCAAAAGGGGGGAACCUGAACCAGCCAACUCGCGUGAAGGAUGACUGUCUUACGGAUAGUAAGCUUCUUUUAUACGGGAAUAACAAGAGUCACGUGUGACUCACUGCAUGUACCGGAUGAAUAAGCAUCGGCUAACUCCGUG
rnacentral:rRNA from 1 species